GGGAAAGUGGCCGAGUGGUUAUGGCGGCAGGCUGUAAACCUGCUGUCUUUUUGACUCGCGGGUUCGAAUCCUGCCUUUCCCA
rnacentral:tRNA from 1 species